UACUAAGGCACAGACACGGAGCGGUCCGGUGUGGGGUGACGGCCACAUUGGAACUGAGACACGGUCCAAACUCCUACGGGAGGCAGCAGUGGGGAAUAUUGCACAAGGGGCGAAAGCCUGAUGCAGCAACGCCGCGUGAGGGAUGAAGGCCUUCGGGUCGUAAAACUCUGUCCUCAAGGAAGAUAAUGACGGUACU
rnacentral:rRNA from 1 species